UGGCUCAGGAUGAACGCUAGCUACAGGCUUAACACAUGCAAGUCGAGGGGCAGCAUAACGAAAGCUUGCUUUGUUGAUGGCGACCGGCGCACGGGUGAGUAACGCGUAUCCAACCUUCCCUAUAGUAGAGGAUAGCCCGGCGAAAGUCGGAUUAAUACUCUAUGUUAUUCAACGAGGACAUCUGGAAUGAAUCAAAGGUUUACCGCUAUAGGAUGGGGAUGCGUCUGAUUAGGUUGUUGGCGGGGUAACGGCCCACCAAGCCCACGAUCAGUAGGGGUUCUGAGAGGAAGGUCCCCCACAUUGGAACUGAGACACGGUCCAAACUCCUACGGGAGGCAGCAGUGAGGAAUAUUGGUCAAUGGACGGAAGUCUGAACCAGCCAAGUAGCGUGCAGGAAUGACGGCCCUAUGGGUUGUAAACUGCUUUUAUACAGGGAUAAAGUGAGCCACGUGUGGCUUUUUGUAGGUACUGUAUGAAUAAGGACCGGCUAAUUCCGUGCCAGCAGCAGC
rnacentral:rRNA from 1 species